rnacentral:rRNA from 1 species
CCUACGGGAGGCAGCAGUGAGGAAUAUUGGUCAAUGGUCGGGAGACUGAACCAGCCAAGUCGCGUGAGGGAUGAAGGUACAGAGUAUUGUAAACCUCUUUUGUCAGGGAACAAAGGCGGGGACGUGUCCCUGGUUGAGUGUACUUGAAGAAUAAGCAUCGGCUAACUCCGUGCCAGCAGCCGCGGUAAUACGGAGGAUGCGAGCGUUAUCCGGAUUUAUUGGGGUUAAAGGGUGCGCAGGGGGGUUUUUAAGUCAGGGGUGAAAGCUCGGGGCUCAACCCCGGGCCGGCGGUUGAUACUGGCAGUCUCGAGUUGGGGAGAGGUAUGCGGAAUGCGCGGUGUAGCGGUGAAAUGCAUAGAUAUCGCGCAGAACUCCGAUUGCGAAGGCAGCAUGCCGGCUCCACACUGACGCUGAGGCACGAAAGCGUGGGUAUCGAACAGGAUUAGAUACCCGAGUAGUC